AACGCACAUUGCGCCCUUUGGUAUUCCGAAGGGCAUGCCUGUUCGAGCGUCAUUAUCACCUCUCAAGCCCCGGCUUGGUGUUGGACCGUUUGGUGGCGGCGACGUACCCAGACCCGGCCCCAAAGACAAUGACGGCGGCCUCGUUGGGACCCCCGGUACACUGAGUUCCUCACCAGACACGUAUCGGAUCAAGGGUGUGCGGGGCACGGUCUGCCUCCCCUCAGGGAGAACUUUUCUCAAGGUUGACCUCGGAUCAGGUAGGGAUACCCGCUGAACUUAA
rnacentral:misc_RNA from 1 species